UACGAAGGGGGCUAGCGUUGUUCGGAUUUACUGGGCGUAAAGCGCACGUAGGCGGAUCGUUAAGUCGGGGGUGAAAUCCUGGAGCUCAACUCCAGAACUGCCUUCGAUACUGGCGAUCUUGAGUCCGGAAGAGGUGAGUGGAACUCCUAGUGUAGAGGUGGAAUUCGUAGAUAUUAGGAAGAACACCAGUGGCGAAGGCGGCUCACUGGUCCGGUACUGACGCUGAGGUGCGAUAGCGUGGGGAGCAAACAGG
rnacentral:rRNA from 1 species